AUGAGUAUAAGUUAAUGGUUAAACUAAAUGUCUUCCACACAUUCCAUGUGAGUUCGAUUCUCACUACUCAUA
rnacentral:tRNA from 2 species